rnacentral:rRNA from 1 species
GACGAACGCUGGCGGCGUGCCUAAUACAUGCAAGUAGAACGCACAGUAUAUACCGUAGCUUGCUACACCAUAGACUGCGAGUUGCGAACGGGUGAGUAACGCGUAGGUAACCUGCCUGGUAGCGGGGGAUAACUAUUGGAAACGAUAGCUAAUACCGCAUAAUAUUAAUUAUUGCAUGAUAAUUGAUUGAAAGAUGCAACUGCAUCACUACCAGAUGGACCUGCGUUGUAUUAGCUAGUAGGUGAGGUAACGGCUCACCUAGGCGACGAUACAUAGCCGACCUGAGAGGGUGAUCGGCCACACUGGGACUGAGACACGGCCCAGACUCCUACGGGAGGCAGCAGUAGGGAAUCUUCGGCAAUGGACGAAAGUCUGACCGAGCAACGCCGCGUGAGUGAAGAAGGUUUUCGGAUCGUAAAGCUCUGUUGUAAGAGAAGAACGGGUGUGAGAGUGGAAAGUUCACACUGUGACGGUAUCUUACCAGAAAGGGACGGCUAACUACGUGCCAGCAGCCGCGGUAAUACGUAGGUCCCGAGCGUUGUCCGGAUUUAUUGGGCGUAAAGCGAGCGCAGGCGGUUAGAUAAGUCUGAAGUUAAAGGCUGUGGCUUAACCAUAGUACGCUUUGGAAACUGUUUAACUUGAGUGCAGAAGGGGAGAGUGGAAUUCCAUGUGUAGCGGUGAAAUGCGUAGAUAUAUGGAGGAACACCGGUGGCGAAAGCGGCUCUCUGGUCUGUAACUGACGCUGAGGCUCGAAAGCGUGGGGAGCGAACAGG